GCUCGUAGCUCAACGGUUAGAGCAGAGCGCUCAUAACGCUUUGGUUGCAGGUUCGAAUAUUUGUUAGUAAGCA
rnacentral:tRNA from 1 species